AUGAACCGUCGCGGCCCAUCGCACACGAUGCCUGCACUGAAACACUCGUGGACACGGCGACAAGCUUGUCGCCGUUUCCCCUCACAACUAAUUAAAAGGCGCGUACAUAUCCGCCGCUUGUAAUACAACGCAGACUAUUUUGGGGGAGCGCUGAGUACGAAAUUGAUGGCCGAGCACUAAAAACAGCUUCGCGUCAGCUCCAAAGGGACUUAAGGAGAGUUUCCGACAGAGCUGCCAAGCUUUUUUAUCCACUUGGGCAGCAUCUGAAUGUUUUGAUGCACUUCAGGGAAAACAGCUACGUGGAUCAUAAAUGCGUCAUGCAGGUCAUGAUUUUUUUUUUGUAAUUUAUGAAUUGAGACAGUCCUUGUGUCAGGCUUGGUUUGUGCAACGCAUUAAGAGACGUACAUUCAUUCAUAUAGAUUAGCGGCGACUAACCCGUUCAGACAACGAUCGAGCCGGGCAAACAUCCCACAUGCGGAAUGAGCGCACUCGCAAGGCACCGCUGUCUCCGUCAGCUCCGUGUUAGCCAAUUUCCCCGCCGUCCGUGUCGGCCCGACAUCGCAUGACCUCGUGAGUUGGAUCGGAGAGAUUGCAAGAUCACACGAAAACGGGAGGGGGGGGGGGGGGGGGGGGGAGAAACACGUGAGAAAUGCGCCGUGAGCACAGAGCCGCUCUCCUCGCGGAUACACACAAUGCUGCGUGUCAUUGGUGCUCGCAUCAGCUGACGCUCACGUCGCAACUAUCAGAAGGGGAUUCAUUUGACAUUUAAACAGAGCCGUGAAGGCCUCGUAUCGUCAAUCCUGCAACAGGCUUGGAUGGAGUGAGGGAAAAAAAAAAAUACUGGGAGCAGGACGGAGUCUGAAUCUGGAACUGACAUCAAUGCAGUGAUCAAUUAUGAGGCACAAAACUCGGAUUUCCAAGUUGGGGAUGUUUUCAACCUGGAUUUCAAAGCAUUAAGACUAAAAAAGCAUUGACUUCACUUCUAUUAGCAGCUGACUUCCAUUCACGUGCAGCAUAACAGCAAAAUGCUGCUGCAUCAUGUGCGCUCGGACCUCUUGGCUCCACCGACUGCAGGCCUCAGACCCCGGCUGGGUUUCUAUUCCAUUCGCAUAUCUUUAAUAUAUUCAUGGACCCAAAGCAUUCCGUGAUUUAUAGACCAGUAGUAGAACGAUUAAAAUCUAUCCGACAGCUGACUGGGAGCCAGCGUAAAGCCUUUCGGACUGGAGUAACGACUGUUCUGAUCCGAGCUGCAGCUGUUUGAUGCUCCUUCGAGGGAGUCCAGUCAGAAGGCACUCCCAAAAAGACUUUUCAUUGAAAUAAACUGGUUGUUUGUUGGUUUUAGACAAUGGCACAACGCAUUAUUUGAGCUUUUGGAAUUUGGAGACAUAGCCAUGCUGGCCAACAUUGGCGCGACGAAGAAUUUGACCCCUGGUUAGCAUAUGACACGUCAUCUGACACAGCUGCAGUGUUUACGCAAACCUCACGUUUACUGACAGGUCAGGAUGUCGAAGACGGUUUGCAUGCGCCACUCCUGCUUGUUCAAAACGGGAGUCGGUGGCAAAAACGUCGCGGUUAGAGACGCUAAUGCGGCGAGGGAGGAACGUUCUACUUCCGACUGUCAACAUCAAAGGUGACAGGCCUGAACCUUCCCGAUUUUACAAGCUGAACACUCCAGUUCAAAGCCUUUCGCUCUUGUUUUUUUUGGCCUUGACCCACAAUCGCCCGCAGCCACUUGAU